GGAUGGAGGCCUUCGGGUUGUAAACCUCUUUUAUCGGGGAGCAAGCGAGAGUGAGUUUACCCGUUGGAUAAGCACCGGCUAACUACGUGCCAGCAGCCGCGGUAAUACGUAGGGUGCAAGCGUUAUCCGGAAUUAUUGGGCGUAAAGGGCUCGUAGGCGGUUCGUCGCGUCCGGUGUGAAAGUCCAUCGCUUAACGGUGGAUCCGCGCCGGGUACGGGCGGGCUUGAGUGCGGUAGGGGAGACUGGAAUUCCCGGUGUAACGGUGGAAUGUGUAGAUAUCGGGAAGAACACCAAUGGCGAAGGCAGGUCUCUGGGCCGUUACUGACGCUGAGGAGCGAAAGCGUGGGGAGCGAACAGGAUUAGAUACCCUGGUAGUCCACGCCGUAAACGGUGGAUGCUGGAUGUGGGGCCCGUUCCACGGGUUCCGUGUCGGAGCUAACGCGUUAAGCAUCCCGCCUGGGGAGUACGGCCGCAAGGCUAAAACUCAAAGAAAUUGACGGGGGCCCGCACAAGCGGCGGAGCAUGCGGAUUAAUUCGAUGCAACGCGAAGAACCUUACCUGGGCUUGACAUGUUCCCGACGACCCCAGAGAUGGGG
rnacentral:rRNA from 1 species